rnacentral:rRNA from 1 species
UACCUCUGGUGUACCAGUUGUCGUGCCAACGGCAUAGCUGGGUAGCUAUGUGUGGACGGGAUAAGUGCUGAAAGCAUCUAAGCAUGAAGCCCCCCUCAAGAUGAGAUUUCCCAACUUCGGUUAUAAGAUCCCUCAAAGAUGAUGAGGUUAAUAGGUUCGAGGUGGAAGUAUGGUGACAUCUGGAGCUGACGAAUACUAAUCGAUCGAAGACUUAAUCAAAUU